rnacentral:tRNA from 1 species
CAGCUCGUGGGUCACCAUGGCCAGGAACUCGUCCUUGGUGCGGGCCAGUUCGAUGGCGAGCUCCUCGGCACGGCGCCGUUCCAGGUACUGCCCGAGCUGG